UACGAAGGGGGCUAGCGUUGCUCGGAAUCACUGGGCGUAAAGCGUACGUAGGCGGCUUUGCAAGUUAGAGGUGAAAGCCUGGAGCUCAACUCCAGAACUGCCUUUAAAACUGCAUCGCUUGAAUUCAGGAGAGGUGAGUGGAAUUCCGAGUGUAGAGGUGAAAUUCGUAGAUAUUCGGAAGAACACCAGUGGCGAAGGCGGCUCACUGGACUGGUAUUGACGCUGAGGUACGAAAGCGUGGGGGAGCAAACAGG
rnacentral:rRNA from 1 species